CGCUAGCUACAGGCUUAACACAUGCAAGUCGAGGGGCAGCAUUUUAGUUUGCUUGCAAACUAAAGAUGGCGACCGGCGCACGGGUGAGUAACACGUAUCCAACCUGCCGAUAACUCGGGGAUAGCCUUUCGAAAGAAAGAUUAAUAUCCGAUGGUAUAUUAAAACCGCAUGGUUUUACUAUUAAAGAAUUUCGGUUAUCGAUGGGGAUGCGUUCCAUUAGUUUGUUGGCGGGGUAACGGCCCACCAAGACUACGAUGGAUAGAGGUUCUGAGAGGAAGGUCCCCCACAUUGGAACUGAGACACGGUCCAAACUCCUACGGGAGGCAGCAGUGAGGAAUAUUGGUCAAUGGACGAGAGUCUGAACCAGCCAAGUAGCGUGAAGGAUGACUGCCCUAUGGGUUGUAAACUUCUUUUAUAUGGGAAUAAAGUAUUCCACGUGUGGGAUUUUGUAUGUACCAUAUGAAUAAGGAUCGGCUAACUCCGUGCCAGCAGCCGCGGUAAUACGGAGGAUCCGAGCGUUAUCCGGAUUUAUUGGGUUUAAAGGGAGCGUAGGUGGAUUGUUAAGUCAGUUGUGAAAGUUUGCGGCUCAACCGUAAAAUUGCAGUUGAAACUGGCAGUCUUGAGUACAGUAGAGGUGGGCGGAAUUCGUGGUGUAGCGGUGAAAUGCUUAGAUAUCACGAAGAACUCCGAUUGCGAAGGCAGCUCACUAGACUGCAACUGACACUGAUGCUCGAAAGU
rnacentral:rRNA from 1 species